AUUGAACGCUGGCGGUAGGCCUAACACAUGCAAGUCGAGCGGAUGAAGGGAGCUUGCUCCUGGAUUCAGCGGCGGACGGGUGAGUAAUGCCUAGGAACCUGCCUGGUAGCGGGGGAUAACGUCCGGACACGGGCGCUAAUACCGUAUACGUCCUGAGGGAGAAAGUGGGGGAUCUUCGGACCUCCCGCUAUCAGAUGAGCCUAGGUCGGAUUAGCUAGUUGGUGGGGUAAAGGCCUACCAAGGCGACGAUCCGUAACUGGUCUGAGAGGAUGAUCAGUCACACUGGAACUGAGACACGGUCCAGACUCCUACGGGAGGCAGCAGUGGGGAAUAUUGGACAAUGGGCGAAAGCCUGAUCCAGCCAUGCCGCGUGUGUGAAGAAGGUCUUCGGAUUGUAAAGCACUUUAAGUUGGGAGGAAGAGCAGUAAGUUAAUACCUUGCUGUUUUGACGUUACCAACAGAAUAAGCACCGGCUAACUUCGUG
rnacentral:rRNA from 1 species